rnacentral:rRNA from 1 species
AGUGAACGCUGGCGGUAGGCCUAACACAUGCAAGUCGAACGGCAGCACAGUAAGAGCUUGCUCUUACGGGUGGCGAGUGGCGGACGGGUGAGGAAUACAUCGGAAUCUACUUUUUCGUGGGGGAUAACGUAGGGAAACUUACGCUAAUACCGCAUAUGACCUACGGGUGAAAGCAGGGGAUCUUCGGACCUUGCGCGAUUGAAUGAGCCGAUGUCGGAUUAGCUAGUUGGCGGGGUAAAGGCCCACCAAGGCGACGAUCCGUAGCUGGUCUGAGGGGAUGAUCAGCCACACUGAAACUGAGACACGGUCCAGACUCCUACGGGAGGCAGCGGUGGGGAAUAUUGGACAAUGGGCGCAAGCCUGAUCCAGCCAUACCGCGUGGGUGAAGACGGCCUUCGGGUUGUAAAGCCCUUUUGUUGGGAAAGAAAAGCGGCAGGUUAAUACCCCGCUGUUCUGACGGUACCCAAAGAAUAAGCACCGGCUAACUUCGU